CAUAGAAAGGAAUUGCUUGGUUCUACCUUAGGAUGAGGGUUAGGAAACAGAUUGUUAGGCCCCUCAAAGGAAAGACUGGGAGCAGAGUAGAAUAUGUCCCACCACUUCACUAUUCCUUGGAACAGCACGGAGUAAGAGAUCCUCUCAGUUGGCACUAUAGCUUAGUCCCAAAUCAUACUGUAUGCAGAUUGUACCCAAUUCCAGAACCACACUUUGCCUGAAAGAGGGCAAAUGUUUUAGGCUUAUGUUCACAAGUAUUUCCUUCAUGUAGGAGCCAAUAAAUGUGUUGGAAGUCUGUAAAAACACUUUUUUUCUCAUAUUUAUGACAAAGAUGAGUAAUUAUACUCAAGUUUAUGGCCCCAGUUUGGGGGUAAAUUUUUAGGAAUAUUCCAGUUCUAUGUAUCUUUAGUGACAGCCAGGAAGUAUGCACGUGUGUGUGUGUGCACAUGCACACACACACACACACACACACACACACACACACAUACACUAUGGCAUUUGGAAGGUGCCAGUCUGUUACUCACCCAAGAUUAUUUCAGCUAAAAUAAUGGAAGCAGAAGGAAACAGUUUUCAGAAGACACAGGUAAACCAAAAGGAAUCUACCACUUUGGGAAUGUGAAGAAAGGUUAUUGAAAUUACACAGACAGUCUGCAAUAUUUUUCAUGAAUAACCCAUGAGAAAACUAAAAAUAGGACAGCACUCCAUAAUGCUAAGUAUUUAUGAGGCAAUAGAACAUGUACGUAGAUGGCUUAUUGGGGACAUCCUAGGCUGUCUGAAUGCUUAUCUCAUUAAGGGAGGUACUUGAGAUCUGUAGAUACAUAGAUGGGGUGGGUAGCUCCCAUUGAAUUGUAUAAUUUAUGUUUUGCACUUAAUAUAGAAUCCCUAGUCUAAAUCUCUUAGAAAGACUGCAGAAAUUCUGUCUCAUCACCAUCUAUAAAACUACCUAUGGCCAGUAUAACCAUUUAGACAGGUGACAGGCAUGUGACAUAAAUUAAACAAUAAAAUAGCUCAUUUCCUCAAAUGUUUUAUGUCUCAUAAAGGCAAAUCUGUAGCCCAGCUGAUGGUGAACAUUUUUUUAUUGGAGCCAUCUUUUAAAAAUCAGAUUGAAACAUUUAAAAACUGGGAUAUCAUUUAAAUUUCCAACUUCUCUCGAGAAAUAGGAUGACCCACCAAUGUCCGGCUUGUGUUCUUGCAUGGCUGCAAUUAGUUGGAGUUGAAUAGCAACUCCCAUUUUUAUCUGAGGAUAUAAUUUUGGUUUUAAGUUAAAGGUAGAGGCAGGGGAAUAAACAUACUAUCAGGGGAAAAAUAAAUGUCUUCUUUGUGAAUGCAAAUUGCUUCUGGUCCUCAUUCAUAAUAAGAGUUGGAAAAAUGUAUCUAAUAGAUGAGUAUCCAGACACCAUUUGGCUAAGAUUGCAUUAAUUUGAUAUAGUAAAUGUAUAUCUGGCACUACAGCUACAACUUGUUGAAUUGAAUUUUUAGUUACCUACUCUUAUGUUCCAGUAUUCAUUUGGGUUUCAUAGGAGAAAUUCAUGGCUAGAAGAUGGGAGAAGGAAUGUUUUUCAGCUUUCCACUUGGCUUGCCCACUGGAGUAGACCUUAACCCAGAAAACAUAGAAAUAGUGUAUAGCUUCUAACAAUGACCAAGUAUGUGUGUCCCAAUAUUACAUUCAGGGGCUGGGAAAUGACCACAAAGCAGUGGAAUCAUAGAAAGCAGAAUAUAAGCCAAAACUCCAUUUAUUACAUGGUCUCCACUUAAUCCCACUCUAACAGGGGUUCUUGAUGGCAUAUUGGACUCUAUCCAACAGUUCUUGAAAUGUGUAUACAUUUCUUUUUAUCCAACAAACAGUUAUUUAACUAAAUAUCCAGAAAUCCAUUCCUGAAAGGAAUGAUUAUCAAGUACCUUUGCCAUAGUGUCAUGGGACCCUUUCUGCUUGGGACAUGGUCUUUCUAUCUGUUAAUAUAUUUUUGGGUCUGAGAAUAGCACUCAUCUGGAUAUUGGGUAAGAGACUCCAAAUUUUUCUUGCCGCAUCUGCCCUUAGCUUCUAGUGCAUCCGUCCUUGAUAUAGCGUCACUAUAUAAUUUGAGCGAGACCUUAAUGGGCUACCCAUCUAUCUUGACAUUGGAAAUACCAUAUUUUGCUUGUGAACCUAAUGGCUUUCUGCAGGUCAGCCUCCUUGAUUAUAACUUUGACAUUAUUACUAAUUAUGAUAAUUUUGUGCACCUUACAUUUUUCAGUUAAGUGCAGCCACCUGGAUUCUCUCAUACUCACUGUUACCAAGGAGCCCAGCUCUUUAGCAGAAUCUCUUACUUCCCUAGUCUACCAAGGACAGCUAUCACUUAGCUUUUAAAGAAGCUCUCAGUGGCAUGUUUCUUAUCACUUUGGUAAAAGGAUUGUUGUUCUGGCUCCUGCACAAAGUGUUAUUGACUUGUGAGUUUUCUGGCCUUAUAUGGUAUAUACUCUAAAUCACUGCUUUCACCAUCUGUAACAUCUCUACAUUAAGAAUAGGCUAUUGCUUUGUCCAAGAUACCAGGAGCUAUCUGAGCAGUCUAUUUGGACUGUCUUUUGAGGCUCUUGGUAAAGUGUGAAUCCUGUAUUAUAGGAGAGUGUUCACACACUGGUAAACUCCUCAUUUUCUAACUUCACCUCCUCUUCUUUUUGAUACCAAGUCUUUAGGAUUCCACUCCAUUUAAACUCUUUUGACCCCCACCAGUACAUGUUGGCUAGACAUUGAAGCUUCAUAUAUAUAUAUGCUCAGCAGAUCCAGAACUUCCUCAGCUAUUUUAUUCUGUAAUUCUUCUCAUGAUUUAGUUAGCCGCCAAGAAGAAAGAUAAAGGAGAUCAUGAGGAGUUGUUUGUUAUUUUGCAAAGCAAAAUAUUCUGCACGUCCUUCAAGCAAAAAAUGAGGAGGGGUGUCUGGCCUUUCAGAGGAGAGACAACCAUUUAUGAAUGGCUAGAGAGUUCAAGACAAAAUGAAGGAAUAUAAGGAUUCAAGAUUUUCCAAAAUAUCCUCUAACCUACUCUUACUGUAAGCCUCAAUUUCCCAUUUCAUCCUGAUGAGAGCCUUGCCCUACUAUAGCAGACAUGCUGGUGUUCAAAAUUCAUUCUCUCAUUCUUCCUGGAUAUGAGCCUCAGCCCUUUCUCUCCUCUAGCUGUAGGAGGUGAAAGUCUCUUCACACUAUGAAAGGAACCUUCGGAUUCUCACACUUCAUCUGAUAUUGGUGAUACGCACCCUUAGGCUUUCAAAAUUCUAUUAGUGGAAUUUUGAGCAAUUGGAACCACAAUUGAGUGCCAGUGAUGAGGUUUUCUCUCACUUUGGAAUUAGGUGAUCUGGCUCCUAAAUCCCAUCUUAUAGUUGUGUUCCAAGAACUAUGGUUGGCAGGGGCCAUAUCUCAGGUUGGCUUCACAACAGACAAACUCCAGUACUUUGAUAUUUGCACUCAGGAGGUUUACUAAGGAAGGCUUUGAAUGACAGUGUCUGUAGUGAGUCACUGGAUUGGGCAGGGGAGAGCUGAUUCAUGAUGCAGUUGCAGGAGAGGCCUUGACAGUUGCUGGGGUGAGAUCUAGAUCUGUGCUGCUCCUUGUAGUUGUCCUAGUGGAGUACAGAUCCUUUAUACUUCUGCACCACUGGGCAUUGCACACAGAUGCCCCGUAGAAGGCUAAUCUUUGGUGAAGUGUCUUCUUUUAGCCUUGAUCAAUUCCUGAAGGGGAACUCAGUUUUGAACAAUCAAUGAUCUACACUCAGUACAGCCAGAAGAAUGGUCUUGGUCAGUGCCUUGGUCUUGAAGGAGUAUUUGGGAACUAGACUACCUGGUAUACCACAGUUCUCAAUGGAGAUUUGUUUGAUUGCCUAAUCCUUUUGUGAUUAUAGGUCUUUUGAUGGUAGAUUCUUUUCCUAAUUCUUUUUGGAUUGCUAUACAGCAAUUAUCAUAGCACUUGCCAUAAAAUAAUUGUUGGAUCAAUAGGAAUGAAUAAAUAAGUGAAGAAAUGAAAUUUAGGACUAUUAUCUUUCAGUGGCCACACUAAGCCCUAAUUAAUACAUUGGCGGUUUCAACUAUAAUACUUCUGCAUUGGGAUUUUUCCCAAAAUGUGUCUUUCCUACACCGGAUGAUGCAGAUUUAGUUACUACUUGUGUGUACCAAUGACUGAAAGGGCUACCUUGAAAUGUGGUGGUAUGGGUGGGCAAUAGUUAAACCCAAUUUAAUUGCUGUUCUCUUUAACCAUGACCUAGAACCCAUUAGCACCUGGCUGAUGUUGAUUCAUUGGCAUGCACUGCCACAGACAGAGGCUACAUCUUGUCUGCUGUGGAAAUGCCUGUUAGCUUCACUAUAAAUACUUAAGAGAAUAGCAGAAAUGUUUAAAAAUUCUUUCUUGGAAACAGAUUAUUGAUAAUUCUAUUUCCUUUCCAAAUACGUAGUUUGUCACCACAAUUAAUUCUUCAUUAAACAAUGUUAACCUUCUACUCGGGAGAAAUAAUUGUACCCUUUCUUUAGGUGCAAUUAUCCUGAUGAAAGUAAUUAGUCAAUACAGCUACUUAAGAAGGAGCUUUGCAUUUGGAAGGGAUUCAGCUGAUAUGUAUCAUGUGGUUGGGAUUUAGCUUGGCACUGUAUUGAACUUGGCAAUAUGCACAACCUCACUGAGGGCUCCUUAGCUGUUCUUUUUUUGUUUUGGUAAUAGUGAUGUCCAGGGACACUCAGGAUAAAAAAUUAAAUGCACUAAGAGUCAAAGCAUACCUGCUAUGCUGACAAAAUUAUUUAUUUUUAAAAUAAUGAAAAUGUACAUAAAAAGUAGGAUUCUAAUUUUGUUUUACUCUCUUCUGUUUGCCAACUUACUCGUUCUUUCGAUAAUGUAUAACUACAUAAAUCUAAUCCCCUAUCAUGUACUGUGCAUUUUGAGUUUGAAUUUUGCUAAAACAAAUGCAGGGAAACAAUUCUUUAUUUGCCUGAAAUCUGAAGCAGUUUAUGAAGGUAAAUCAUUAUUUUUCAAAUAUAAAACUUUUGAAAUUAUCCCCAGACCCAUAUCUUUAGUAAAGAAAUUAAUUCAAAGACCCUAAUCUCUAUUACUCAAUUUUCUAGGGCAACAGUAAUGUUUUAUAUAUUGAUGGAGAUUUGGGCUACAUAGGUGUUGGAAAUUGUCAAAAUUCAGUGACUGAUCCCUUUUACAUCAAAGAAAAAGACUUGAAACCAAUAUUGAAUUCUAACCAUAUGUUUACUGAAGUAUUUAUGGAGAAGAGUACUGAUGUCUACAAUUUAACUUGAAAUGUGUAAAAAAUAAAAUGGCUUGAUGGAUGGAGGAUGGAUAGAUGAAGUAUUAUGUGAUAAAAUGAGUAGAAUAAAAUCUUCAUGGCAGAAUUUAAGUCACAAAGAUAGGAGUUUUCCAUGUAAAAUUUAAACUUUUCUAUUAUUAAAAUUUUUUUCUAAUAAUAUGUAAAAAUAAUUGCCAUUGGAACUCCUCUUGCAGUGCCAUUGAGGCACUCUUUGAUCAAAAUGGGCUGAUAAUUCAGUCUCUCCAAUUAUUUUUGUCACACAUUCUGGCAAAGUGUGGUGCUAGAUAAUGGAAUUUCUUUGAAACUCCAUGCUUAGGAGUCCUCUUCUACCUGUGAACUGGGGCUAAUAACACUAAUUUUAGCAAGAAGAGUAAAACCCAGUAUACCCAAGCACUUUGGAUGGAAUUACUCAUCUACUUAUCUAUUCUUCCAUGAACCCACCCUCCAAUCAACUGCUUUUGGUCUAUUAUGACUCCUCCAUUUCUCUCUUUGACGAAAGGGAUUUUAAAUGUUAUGACAGCAAAAUUCCUAAAUCAAGAAACUUACAAUGUCAUGGGGAUCUUGACAUCAAGUCCCUAUUUCUACAAGUUCCACUCUGACUUUGUUUAUUCAUUCUGUCAGACAAAAUCACUUCAAAAUCACUGAUGUGAUGUAAGAUUAUGAAAAUAUACUUGCCUGCAUCAGGAGCACUUAAAAAGUUAUACUUUGAUUUUCUUGGUUAUAGCCAAAGCCACAAAAUAUUCCAGUCAUGAGUAAAGAAGCAAGGCUUUACUUUGGGAAACUUUAGAAGAAAUCUAACAAAGCUUUCCCCAACUGGAGUAAAUUAUUAAAUACUUAAAAGUGUUUAGUAGCAUAUAAAAUUCAACCAAGUUCUAUGAAAGUCAUGAGGCUAAAUCGAAUGUUAGUGUAGAAGAGUCCCAACAGAAUGCAUCUCACCCAAGUCCUACAAGUCCCUGUCAAGGGAGUCACUGCUCCCUUUAGGCUGUCUCCUUUUUUAUUGGUUUUAAUUAAUUUUUACAGAAUAAAUUAGUUCACCAUAUUUAAAUCACAUUUGCACACACAAAUGAAAAGUUCUUUUUUCUUCCUUCCAAAUCAGUCCUUUGUUGUGGAAAUAAUUUAUGCAAUGCAACUACUUCUGAGUGAAACUCCGGUCCAUUAAAACGUCCAGUGUACUAGGAGGAGGAAAGAUAGAUAAGAAUACCAAGGAGGAAAAAGUAAAGCAGAAGUAAAAAGGACGUUUUAGAGGAAGCAAGUGGAGAAUAGAGAAGAGAAAAACCAGGGAACAUAGAUGAAGCCAGCUGGCUAUAUAAAUGAGUGCCCUUAGUUGGGACCAAAUGCUGAAAGCUUGCUGCAGGCACCAAAGAAGGCUCCAGUUCUCUGUACCUCCAUUUCAUCUGCAGUGAAUUGCUAGUUGAAAGUCUUCAUACCCCAUUGUUUGGCAUUAGAAACAGAAAUGCAAGGUGCUCUGCAAUCUUUAGAAUCAAUGAUCCAAACCCUUUAUUCUCAGCUCUUCUGCACUAUUACAAAAGGAAGAUUUUCUGUAACUUAUUUUGACUUUAGCAUUAAGGUUCUUGGAUAUUUUCCUUUACCUGCCUUUAUCUCAAUUUAGUCAUAUAAUCAAAAACAAAGAAAAAAUUAAAAAAAUCUUACAGAGAGAGAGAGACAGAGACAGAGACAGAGACAGAGACAGAGACAGAGAGUAACUUGGAAACUUCCAUUGCUUGGUCCUUUCAUGUGAUGGUCCUAUCUUUCUGUGCUUAUUUUCUGUUUUACAAAUCUGAAUGAUUAUGACUUCGGGUUUUAAAUUAUUUGGUUGAAUAUAGAUACACAUUUGUGAUAAUGUCACAGGAUUUUUAUUUUAGGGGAUACUUAAGUUAUGUGACACAUUAUGAGAGUUGAAAAUAAAGGGGGUUGCAGAAGUUUGGAUAUUUCUGACUACAAACUCUGGGGUGAAGAUUAACAUGGAAAAUGUACCAGGGAAUGCUCAUGAGAUUUGAACCUGUGUAGUGGAAGGGAAGGAGGAAAGACUGGCACAGAAAAAAGUCAGGUUGGGAUGGAGUCUCAAUGUCUUAGCCAAUUCACAGGGCUGUAAAGCUGGGACAACUGUCCACAGCUGCUCCUUUAUACUUCUGCACUGACCAGUCAUUGGAUGUGAGGUGCCCCACAAAGGGAGCCUAUUGCUGGAUGAGACAGCUCUGUUUAGCAGAGAGGUACUUCUAGAGAGGGAUGACAGCUGAAGGCUGUCAGCAGCAGCCCACAGCAACUGUGGGAAUAAAUACUGCUUUCCUGGAGAGAGGCUUUCCUGUAGAGAGACUUUCCAGUACAUUACAGAAUUCACUACAGGGGACUUGUUCCUCCUCUCUUGUCUUAUACUUAUGUUCCCUAGUACAAAGUAGCCACAAUUCUAUGUGGUUUUUUUCUUUUUCACUCUUGUCAGAGACAUAUAGCCAGCCAUGGCUAGGCCAUCUCAAUUUUUUGUUUGUUUGUUUCAGCUUGGUUCCCUGAGCAGCUGUAGCUGCAGCUUCAAUUUUCACAGCAGCUUAUCUUUCACCUUUGGUUUGAAAUUGAGAAAGACCAAUGUGCCUCAGUGGAGAAAUUUCACCUGCUCUGAUUCUUAGACCAGGGAGGUGCAAACCAUAACUUGUCAAUGGGCAAUGUGUGGGAUCUGAAUUGGUUUCCACUAAUUUUUUCCAAUCUGUUUGCUAGGUGAAAAUGGAUGAGGGUUGUUUUUCUGUUUCCUGCUUGUAAAGAAUGUUAAUGUGGAUCUAUAUAUUUUCCUUGCCGAGCCUAAGAAGGCCUCACUAAAUAAUAUUCUUUUCCACCCAUCAAUCUGUGUUAGGAAGAUGUAUGGCUGGUAUCUAAGGCGCUGUCAGUGUGUUAUUUUCCAUGUUCCUCUCACAUGUCAAAUAUAAAAAUACAGCCUGUCAGUGUAAGUGUGAUAUGGGAUAUUGUUCACAGAGACUGUGAAAAAUCCUGCAGCACUUCCUGAUUCAUCAUUUCAACAGCCUAAUCAUUUCAGAACCCAGUCUAAACAAAAUAGUUAAGGGCAUUCUGACUUAGGGGGUAUGAAAUCACAAUUGAUUUAGAAAUGACUAAAAAAUCCCCCAAAGAAAAAAAUGUUUUGGAGAAGAGAACAGAAACCUUGUUUUCCUCUCCAAUUUCAUAGUUUCUAAUCUUUCAGUAAGGUUGUUUAUCAGUUAAUUAUUCUGCACUGCACGCUGAACCCUGACAUUUUGCCAAAGUGGCCAGGAGGCCUCGUUAAGUCAGAAUUUCUACUUUCUGCUCACCUGUCACAGCUAAAAGCUCCCUCAAAUGCAUUGACAUCGAUUAAUAUUUAAUGAUUGAAUAGUAAAAAUAUAGGCUCAGCACUUUUUACUUUUUUUCUCUUUAAAUAAGGAUAAAAGGCAUCAGAACGGACCCUGCUUCAUACACACUCAGUUCUAGAUUUUUUACAAUGAGAAAUUUAUAUUGGUGGCAAGAAAGAAAUAAAUGACAAUGUGUGCUUCUACAGAAGGUUAGACUGUAACGCAGAGAGAACUAACUUGAUGGACACCUGGUCUGCGUGGGGCGCUGUGUUAAGUAAUUUCAUAUUACAGUAAUACCUUGGUUCAGGAAAGGUUCCUUUCUUCAGCAAUUCGGUUGGCAAAAUUUUGCUUCCAUUUGAGAAUCCCAUGUUGGGUGAUGAACAUAACCAUGGCCAGCUUCCCCAGUAUUGUGGAAUGCAUUAAGUUCCACUGUAUUUAAUGCAGCACUUCUACCAGACAGAUGCCACUAUUUGCAUUUUACAAAUGAAGAAACAGGCUCAGAGAAGUUAAACAGCUUGUCUGAAGUCACAGGCACAAAAGGCUCAAUCAGGAUUAGUCUCCAGUUGUUUGUCUCUAUGGUCCUCGCUGCAUUCUUGGGACAUGGCGAACCCGAGCCCUGUUGAACUUGUGUCUACUUUGAGUGAAUCAAUUAUUUUGUAUCUUUGUGCUUCAGUUUUCCAAUCUGAUAAUUAAGAUGUAAACCAGGCCUUGAAUUCUAGUUUAGACUCUUAUAAGACACAAGAUUCUGAAGAAAGCUAUGAGUUUACUUGUUCAAGAGUAAAAACCAGAGCAAUUGAAGAGAAGGCAAUAAUCAAAGAAAUCUCUUAAGUAACAAGCAACUUCCCUCAUCAUACAAAAGGCUUAAGUACCCAGAACAUAAAGAUUCACUGUACUGCAGAAAAAAAAUCAAAGAGAAGAAAAUCAUACUUGAACACAGGAGGUCAAAAUGUUUGAAUUAGAAAAAUAAAAAUAAGUCCUACAUUCACUCAAGAUGAAAGAAAAAUGUUGCCUACAAAACCCUGACCUAAAACUUUCUGUAAUAGCAAAUGCCAGAAUUUGAGAAAAAUCUUUGUUUUUUUGGAAAAAAAGUUUGUAACCCAAGAAUUUAUAAAACGGUUCAGAUUACAAACCAUUUCAUUUAUGACAGCACUAGAAAAACUUUCACCAUCAUUCAAAGAUUCACACACUACUCACUUAUGUCAACCUUUUUAUUAUUUAAGUAGUAUAUAAAACAUACAGUACACAUCCACGAAAUAAAAAUAGUGAAGAAAAAGAAGAAUUCUAGGCACUGUACUGAUUAAGUCACACUUCAUAUCUCAAAAUCAAUAAUAAAUUGAAUUUUGUGAUUUGAAGCCUAGAGGGGUUGUAUUGGUCAGCAAUUGCUGGGAAAAAAUACUAAACACUCACAAAUUAAAGGAGGAUAGGUUUACUUUGGCUCAUAGUUUCAGAGGUUUCAGUCCAUGGUCAGCUUGCUCCAUGGCAGAACAUCAUGGCAGAAUAUCAUGGCAGAAGGCUGUGGCAGAGGAAAAUUGCUCAAAUCAUGGCAUGUGGAAAGCAGAGAGGAGGAAAAAAGUCCAAGAAGAAGGGGCUGGGGCCAGGUAUGGUCCCUAAAGUCGCAACCCCAUAACCCACUUCCUCCAAAUAGGGUCCACCUCCUAAAAGCACAUUCAGCUAUGGUUAACUCAUUGAUGAGGUUAGUGCCCUCAAAAUCUAGGAGUCUCUUAAUCCAGUCAAGUUGACAAUCAAGGUUAACUAACAUGGGCAUUAUGUGCAGUACACAGGAUACUCUUCUCUAUGAAUACUUUCUUAACCAUGGAUAACCUGUGUACGUUAUUGAUUUAAAGAACCUGAAGAAUGACUAAAUAAAGGAUUUGUUUUUGUUCUACAAAUAUAAAAUUGCAAAGAGCUAUAUACUGGCCAUUUUCAAUGCCAAAGAGUUGACUUAAUGGUGUUCCACAUUUUGCAAAUAUAUAUUGAAUAACUUUAGUCAUUGAGAUUUAACCUGGAAGGAUUAUAAACAACUCAUUAGAAAAUUUUGUUAGCAAGGACCUCUUUACAGUGUCUACUUACUAUAUAUAAAACAAUGAUGGUGACUAAAACACUAUAAAGAAAAUAUACAUAAAUGUGAAUAAUAUUAACUAGGAAAUGCUGGGAUUUAAGGUCAUUUCAUGUUUUUCUUUACACUUUGCUGUCAUUUUCCACAAUUGAGCAUAUGUUACUCUUAUAAUUAGAGAAAAUUGAAUAAGAAAACCUCAUAAUAGUCAACAGUAGAAAACAGGCAAUUCACAAAAGUAGAAACCCUAUUGCCCAGUAACCAUAUGAAGAAAAUAUUGUAUCUUAUUAAUGAAGGAAAUUCAAAACAAGACCACCAUGAAAAAUCUUUUUGUACUCAUUAGAGCAGACAAUAAUUUAAGUUUGACUAUGCCUGCAGGGUGAGGGUGUGAAGUCACAGGAAGCCUCACAUCCCACUGUAAAUGUAAAUUAACACAACAACUUUGGAGAUGAAUAUGGAAAUAUCUAGAAGAGCUGACAAUGUACAUGUCAAUGAUCUGGUAAUUAUAAUUGUACAUAGCUGCAACAUUUCUUAUAAUAACAAAAAAGUGGAUACAAUAUCCAUCAACAGGAAAAUAUAGAUUAAAAAGCUUGUAGUAUAUCGUAUACUGUUGUCACCCGAAUUGAAUGUGAGCUACAUAUAAAAAUGUGGGGAAACCCUCAAAACAUAAUAUUGAGGGGGAAAAUGAAAGUUUCAAUUAUUCAUAGCAUGAUUUCAAUUUAUAAAAUUAAAAAAUAAAAUUAUAAAUAGAAACUUAAGAACAUUAAUAUGUAAAUUAAAAGGUCUAAGGAAUUAUGUAGUAAAAGCAUCUAUUUUGUCUAUGAGUUCAAACAGAGAGUAAAACUAUAAAAGCAAUCAAAGAAGCAAUAAAUUCAGAACAGUGGUUAUCUUUGAGGAGAGAAGGAAGAAACUUGACCCUGAAGAAGAGUAUUUCAAUGGUGUUGGAAGUUCUGUGAUUUUUUUCCUUGGAAAACUUAAACUUCGGAGGUAUAGAUAUGAAUAUUUUAAUAACUGGCAAAACUGACAAUUGGUACAAUAUUAUUUGCUUCAAAAUUUUAUAGUAAAAAAUGAAAAUAAAAUGUUAGUUGCAUGUUUCUUUAUAAUAUGUAAUUAUAAAUACAAAAAUAAAAUCUGUACAAUUUUAAUGUGCUCUCUGGCUGCAAGUGAAUACAAUAUUUAUAGCAUAAAGUCUACAAGGAAACAAAAAAGAAAUCAAAUGCUGGUUGCAUCUAGAUGAUACAGAUAAUAUUUAACUUUCUUUUUAAGACAGUUCUAUAUUUCUGUAUUUUGAGAUUUUAUUAUAAGACAAUACAAUUUUUGUAACUGAAAAUAUAUAAAAUUUGAGUAAAAGUGCAGAUUUGGACCAUACUGUGGAGGGACUUGAAUGUCCUUCUGUGUCUUUAGCUUUGUAACACGUACUUCCCAAACUCUGUGUUGUAGAGCAUUAGUUACGCUUCGGAUAUUAAGGUGUAUUCUUGGGAGAAAGAGGUUCUAGGUUGAAUAUAUUUCAGAAUUUUUAUGCUUUCUGCUUGUAACAUAAUGAGCCUUUAAAUUGGCACAUUAAAGGCUCUGACAAGUUCUGUAGUACUUUUUAUACAGCUUCUCAUUAAUUGGUAUUUAGCAUUCAGAAAUAUGAUUAAGUCUAAAUUUCAGAGAAUAAUUCCAGUCUCCAGGGGGAAGAAACAUGAAUGAUCUUGAAUAUUUUGAAAUAAUGUGGCUUAAAACUAGAUCAAAUAACCUGUCACUUUUUACAAACUUCAACAUUCUUAUUCCAAAAUGGUUUGGUGCCUUUUGUAGUCUACAUUUAAUACUCAUAAAACCAUAUUACAUAGUUUUGUCAAUUGUCAGCUCCACAUAUUAACUGUGUCAAUAUGAUAUAUAGCCUACUCUUCCUACUUGGAGGUACACAGUGUUUUCCUUGUUCUAAAAAGUGACAAGAAAACGUUUUGAGUUUUUAUUUACUGGCCAGAAAGCUUUUAAAAACACAAGGCUUUUGGCCAGUUGUAUUGCAGGAGAAGCUGUAAAAUCAGUCAAUGACUAGCAGCAAACAGAGAAGGGGCUGGGCUGUGGCACUUAUGAAAAAGCCAAAAUCUGUACAAGAUACUUGGUUCUUAUAAGUACCUUGCCCCUUCUCACUGUCACAAGCUCAGUGACCUCAGAGUCACCAUGCUGGCUCUAGGGGCAGGAAUCUGAAAUCCAUUCCCAUCAUGGUGUAAUUUACUGACACCAGCUCUUAUUUUAAAUAUCAGAGGGAAGUCUAAAAUAAACAGAGAAUAAUGAGAAUGGUAGGUUCAGAAGCAUUUUGGAAGGAGACCACUGUCUCAUUGAUGUAACAUCCUAUCAGAAGGUGCCAGACGUUCUACCUUCAGAGACAAGAGUGUAUUUCAAAUGGGUAGUGUUAUGCUCAAAGUAUAAUACAAAAAAAAAGAGAGAAAAGAAAGAUACCUGAGACAAGGUGUUCUAGAUUUGUAAUAUGUCACUUCUAUGGAAUAUGGGCCUAUUAUUUUUAAAAGUCUAACUAAAUAAAAUCAAAUUUUAUAGAAUGUAAGAGGCAUGAAGACUUGGGAUACGGAAUAUCAAUAUCACCAAUAUUCAACUUCAAACCUAGUGAGCCUCUACCUGAUUAGUGAGGCCUAAAAUUUCUUCCAGGUACCAGUAGCCAUACUAAAUUGUUUAUUGCUCUCCAACCGAUAUCCAGCCCCAGAUUGGUAAUUAUUAACAAUGAUGAUGAUGACUAUCAUUUACAUAAAAUGGUCUUAAAAGCUAUGAUGGUUAAUUUUAUAUAUCUAAUUAACUAGGUGACAGGAUGACUAUAGCUAGUAAAACAUUAUUUUGGGGUAUAUCUGAGCACUUCUGGGAGAGAGUGACAUUUGAAUCUGUGGACUGAAUGAAGAAGGUUGUCCUCUUCAGGGAAGGUGGAUAAUCAUCCAUUGAGGGCCUAUAUAGAACAUAAAAGGGGAGAAAGGGUGAAUUAGCCUUCUUAGUUUGAGCUAAGAUAUUAAUCUAUCCUUGUCCUUGGAUACUCAGGGCUCCUGGUUCUUUGGCCUUCAGAUUUGGACCAGGACUUACACCAGUGGCCCCCUGGUUCUUGAGUCUUCAGAGUUAUUCUGACACUUCUAUUAUUAGCUCCUCUGGUUCUUAAGCUUUGGGGAUUGGAUUGUAAUUAUACCACCAGUUUUCACAAGCUUCUGGCUUGCAGACUGUAGAUUAAGGAUUUCUAGGGUGCAUAAUCAUGUAAGCCAAUCUCUCAUAAUUUAUUUAUUUAUAUAUACUGUCUAUACUGUCUAUACACUAUUCUAUUUUCCUGGAGAAAAUAUAAUAACCCAUUACCAUAUUUUUUUUUUAAGUUAUCUAGUUUCUUUCAUUGACCAGAGGGAUGGAUUGCAGAAGGUUGCUUUACCUUUUUAGGUCUCAGUUCCACUCAUAAAUAAAUGGCUUCUACAAAAUUUUUGUGCUUUUACUAUGCAUAAGCCUUUGCUACAUACUGUAGAAAAUGCCAUCCCAAGAGUUUUUUUUUUUUAUAAUUGCACAAGAGAUUUAUUAGGUAGGCUACAGGAUCAGAAGUGGAAGAGACUAAGUGGUUAUCUUGGGAUCAGAAGCAGAAGAAUCUAAAAUAGCCAUUUGAGUGCUGGAGAGCUGAAGGAUCCAGUGGCAGUCAAAAGUUGAAAGCCUAGAAGCUCACUAUGAAAUCACCAGAGUGAGUCUGUGUUAGAGGGCAGAAAAGUCCUGCACAGGAAUGCUGUAGAUUCUACGCUGAAAGGCUGAAGGAACUGGAGACCAGCAUCCAAAGGUAAUGGGGAAGACCAGAGCUCCUCCAAAAGGGAAGGCUUCCUUCUUUUUUCUGUUUUUAUUCUGUCCAGGACACAAGCCAAUGGUUGGUACCAUCUACAUCUGGGGUAGGUCUUCCCCUCUCAGUUUGCAGGCCUACAGGUCAGUUAUUCACACAUAUACCCAGUAUUUACUAAUCUGAGAGGCAGUUCUUACUCAAGUCAAGUUGACACAUCAUAAUUAAUGAUAACACAUGUAAUAUGUAGCAUCUUUUUAAAUGCUUACUUACCAUUUGUACUUCGGUGAGGCGGUCAUUUCUUUGUCCUACUUCAAAUUAUCACUUUUAAUUGUGCAGUUAAAAAGUAAGAUAUUUCUUUACAUAUUUGUGUGUUUCACAUUUAGAGCUAAUCAUGAAGCUAUAUAUUACCAUACAAAAAGAAUUUAAGUCUAACAUACGUUAAUAAUUAAAGCCCCUGCUCUGGAAUUCUAAGACUCUGACUUUUACCUUGAUCUCCAUAGAUCCACAAAGAAUAAAUAUAAAAUUAUCUUUAUUUCUAAAUUUUCCUACUUAUUCACUACUCAACAAUAGCAAUUACUUAACUAUGCAUUUUUUUUCCAGUAACACAGAGCAAUUUUAGUUUGCAAAAAAUUUAACUUUUUCUGGGUUAAACUGAGACAUGUUUAUAAGCAAAAUGUUAAAAUGGAUAUGUCUUUGUAAAUGAAAAAUGAUCAUGAAACAUGUAUUUGUAAACCAAGGAAUAAGUACAGAUAGCAUUUAAAUAUACAGAAGUAUCAGAGGUGAUCAAUCCUCCAACAGCCUAGAAAGGGCUAAAGAAAAAAAGACAAGAGAUUUGCAUAAUUUCAAAGUAUAUGGAGGGCCAGGAAGUCAGUGCCUCAGAGUUGGCAAAGACCAGGACUUCCUGAGCUAGCCACUAUCUAACAGGUACAAAGCAAUAAUUGAAGGGAGCAUUGGGUGACUUGGGAGCAGUGGUAAUCCUAUGUCCAUGCAGAUCUUAUGCUGAUGAAGAUCUCAGGUUGAUGAAGGCAGUAAGAAGAGCAUUCCUACAAUAAUCAGUGGGAUGAGUUGAGCUGAUAAGGAAUUUGUCCCUCCCCAGGUGAAACCUUUCUCUUUUGUUAUUAUUACUCAGUUCUCAAAGAAUCAGGAUGUCUUCAGCUGACGAAAUCUUGCCCUUGAGUAUCAUAGUAUCAUGGGACCACUGAAGUCUUGGAUGUGUGGAAUAUUAUCUUUCUUCUCACAUGAUAGGAAGAUCCAUGAAAACAGGGUAGUUUCUAUUUUUCCCACCAAUAUAUAUUGCAGCAUCCAGUUCAGUGAAUUCCAGUGGAACUCACAGUAUUUGUUCAAAGUAAAAUUACAAAAUUACACAGUCACAAACACCACAAAUGUAUUCAAAAUCCUGAACUAUUCAAAAGAAAAUUUUUUAUUUUGUUUGGAGUGUGGAGGGGAACAAAAAAUACGAGCAGAAAGGAGAUACAAGAUUUCAUGUAAAAGGAGUUUUGGGGCUUGGGUUGGAGGCAUGGCAAAGUGCUACAAAUUGGAGGAGCAAUUUAACAAAGGCUUAAGAAAGAAGAGAAUGGAAUUAAUAUGAGAAAAAGAAAAAAUGGAAACGAAGUCUUUGUAGAUCAGGAGGGGUGGAAGGGUUGAAGGAAGGGCAGGGGCAAGGAGAAAAAAUAAGAACCAAGAUGGAUUAUGUAGAGGUGCAAUUUUCCAAUGAUGAAUGUCAUUAUAUUGUAUACCUUAAAUGUACCAAUAAAAUGAAUUUUUUAAAAAAGAUAAAGAAAAGAGAGACAUGUUUGUGAAAAUUCCCACUUGACUGUGUUGCAGGUUAUGGGUAAGAAGACGGAGAAAAGUUUGGAAAGAUAACUUGAGGACCUCACAUAGAAAGUUUUGGUUUUUCAGAUAGUAGGAUUAAACUUUACUUCCAAGAUUUUUGAGAGGUCACUAAAUAUCUCUCAGCAGACAUUUGGUAUGAAGCAAAUUGUGCUUUAAGAGAAUAACUCUGGAAUUAUAGGGAGUAUGAUCAGGACUGGAGGGAGGAAGGACAUGGCUGCCAGAGUAGCUCCUGUCAAAUAAAAUAUGGAGCUGAACAAGGUUAUUGAUAUUAGGGGACAGAAGUGAACAAAAUGUUUUGAUGAAGAACUGAUAGGUUGGAGGCACUUGGGAAAACAUCAGUUGUGGCUUAAUUUUUAAAUCUCUAAUUCCUAUAGAUGAGGGUUUGUCAACUUUAGCAAGAUUAAAAAUGUGAACUAGGGCCGGGGAUUUAGCUCAGUGGUGCCAUGCCUGCCUCGCAAGCUCAAGGUCCUGCAUUCAGUCCCCAGGACCCCCCACUCCAAAUGUGAACAGCAUAAUUCUUAGUUUGGGGAGAUGGUUCAGUACAUGUUUAAUAGUAUUUCUCACCUCUGUUCACUAGAUGCUCAUAUUGAUCUCAUUUCAGUUAUGAAAACCACACCUGCCUUAGGACAUUGACAAAUGUUUCUAAUGGAAUAAAAGUGUCCUCAGGUAAAAACCACUGCCCUAUAUAAAAUCAAUGAGUAACUAGGGUAUAAAAUGCCAAAACUCUUGGAUAAUAUCUGUUUAUAUCCUCUCUCCCUCUCACCCUUGAUUCUUCAGUGUUAAGGUAUCGCAAAUACCCCAAAACAUGAGUGAGUUAGAAAAAAAAACAUUGAGAUUGAUGGGACAUGUGCAGUGUCUGUAUCUUUGUAGAAGAAAUUAAGGGGAAGACAAUAUGGAUUCUGAGGGUCCUGAGUACCAUGCCCCCCACCUCUCUAACAAGUACACAAUGGAAAAUGGGGCUGAACUAGGUACGAGAUUUUCAGAAUCUAAAUCAUGGUUGAGAGAAAGGGAUUGUAUUAGAUGAUAUCUAAUACAGAGUAUUUAUAGGGCCCAGAGUAGUCUGGGCCCUAUAAACCGCUGAUAGCAUCAAGCCAAAUUCCUUUCCAGGAGAAACUGUUAAAAACAGAUUCCAAAUUAAGCAGAACAGGAACAAACAGGACAAAAAAUAUCCAGAUGAAAAAGGAGUAAGUAGGUGGAAGGAGGUCUCAUAAAACAAAAGAUGGCAUAUUUUUAAAUUACUUUGAGGGAAAAAUAACAGAAGAGAGAAUUCUAGGGUCAUGAGUCUAGAGAAGUUAUUUUGGCCUCUCCUCCCUCCUAAAAGUGCAUGAAAAUUCAUUUAGUUACGUAUGAGCAAAGGCAAAAGUAUGCAGUCUAAUAAAGACAACAAGAAGCAGAAAAAAUUCCCCAUGACUUGAGAGGCACAUGGAAAGCCAUGCUCAAAAAAUAAUGAAAACUGAAACCUUCUAUUUCAAAAUGAGCUAAACAAAAGAAACCAAGCCAAUGGUAAGAGCUAUGACAACAAAUCACAAAUAGAAAAAUUUAAAAAAUAGAGUGAUUAGGAAAGAUUUAGUGAGUGCUUAUAUAAAUUAUGAAAACACUAAAAGUAAGAAAUAAUAACAUCAUUUCCUAAAGAAGUUGAGUCAAGAAGAACAUAAAAUCAAAUGAACUGAAAGGAUAAUACAUUGAAAGGAAGAACAUAGAAAGGAAGAAAAUUUUUAAAACCACACUGAUAUGAAUAAAGUCUUUAAAAAAAUAGACAAAAGGAUGAUUCAGGAGAUUUAACAUAUGUCUAGAACAGGGUCCACUGUAGGGUCCAUGGACUCCAGAGUGUGGAGAAAAAUUUUGGUGGCCUAAUGAACUUGGUUGGUGUAUUAGUCUGUCUUCUGUAUGGUGUAUUAGUCUUGCUAUAGCAGAAUACUGGAAGCUGAGUAAUUUUUAAGGAAAGAGGUUUAUUUAGCUCAUAGGUUUGGAGACUAAAAGCCCAAGGUUGGGUUGCCUCAUCUGUUUAGUCUCUGCUGAGGAUUUCUCCUUUGCUAAGUCAUAACAUGGUAAAGAAACAGAAAGGGAAUCAGCUGCAUACAGAAGGGACAAAAACAUACAAGUGGUGUCCAAAAUUUAUAACAACCCAUACUCAUGAGAACAAAGUCACUGAGGUGCACUGCCACAGGCAGUCAUGCCAAUAACUUAUUUACCUUUCACUGGGCUCCACCUCAGAGUGCUUCCAGCACCUCAGCAUCAUCACACUGGCAACCAACCUUCCAGCACAUAAAUCUCAGGGGGAUGAACCACAUCCAAUCCAUAUCAGUUGGGAAAAAUUAUUAUUAUUUUUCCACUAGCUGAAAUUUAACAUUUUAAAAAAUUAUCAGUGUAUCCAACAAAUUGUAGUGUUAAGAUUGCCUGUGACUUUAUCACCAAAAAUCACAGAUAUUUCAAUAUGAAAUUAGAGUUCAAAAAUAUAUAUUCAAAUAUCACUUAUGUUCAUUGAUUUUUAAACAUAGUUAUUAACUAUAGUUAUAUCUCAUUAUUUAAAACCUA
ensembl:lncRNA